rnacentral:rRNA from 1 species
GAUGAACGCUAGCGGCAGGCUUAAUACAUGCAAGUCGAGGGGCAGCAGGGGUGUAGCAAUACACUCGCUGGCGACCGGCAAACGGGUGCGGAACACGUACGCAACCUACCCAAAACUGAGGAAUAGCCCGGGGAAACCCGGAUUAAUACUUCGUAACAUAAUUGAAUGGCAUCAUUUGAUUAUUAUAGCUCCGGCGGUUUUGGAUGGGCGUGCGCCUGAUUAGAUAGUUGGCGGGGUAACGGCCCACCAAGUCUGCGAUCAGUAACUGGUGUGAGAGCACGACCAGUCACACGGGCACUGAGACACGGGCCCGACUCCUACGGGAGGCAGCAGUAAGGAAUAUUGGUCAAUGGACGCAAGUCUGAACCAGCCAUGCCGCGUGAAGGAUGAAGGUCCUCUGGAUUGUAAACUUCUUUUAUAUGGGACGAAACCUCUUUUUCUAGAGAGACUGACGGUA